GUGGGGAAUCUUCCGCAAUGGACGAAAGUCUGACGGAGCAACGCCGCGUGAGUGAUGAAGGUCUUCGGAUUGUAAAGCUCUGUUAAUCGGGACGAAAGAGCCUAGUGUGAAUAAUGCUAGGAAGUGACGGUACCGGAAUAGAAAGCCACGGCUAACUACGUGGCAGCAGCCGCGGUAAUACGUAGGUGGCAAGCGUUGUCCGGAAUUAUUGGGCGUAAAGCGCGCGCAGGCGGAUCUGCCAGUCUGUCUUAGAAGUUCGGGGCUUAACCCCGUGAUGGGAUGGAAACUACAGAUCUAGAGUAUCGGAGAGGAAAGUGGAAUUCCUAGUGUAGCGGUGAAAUGCGUAGAUAUUAGGAAGAACACCAGUGGCGAAGGCGACUUUCUGGACGAAAACUGACGCUGAGGCGCGAAAGCCAGGGGAGCGAACGGGAUUAGAAACCCUGGUAGUCC
rnacentral:rRNA from 1 species